rnacentral:rRNA from 1 species
UAGGGAAUCUUCGGCAAUGGAGGAAAGUCUGACCGAGCAACGCCGCGUGAGUGAGAAGGUUCUUCGGAUCGUAAAACUCUGUUGGUAGAGAAGAACGUUGGUGAGAGUGGAAAGCUCAUCAAGUGACGGUAACUACCCAGAAAGGGACGGCUAACUACGUGC